AUGGCUUCCCCUUCCCGCCCCGUCCUCACCACCCAGCUGCUCCUCCUCCUCCUCCUGCUGCUCCGCAAUGCCGCCGGCGCCGCGGCCGCGUCCUCCUCGGUGAACCCGUUCACGGCCAAGGCGGCCUUCAUCCGCUACUGGAACCGCAAGGUGCCCAACAACCGCCCCCACCCGGCCUUCUUCGUCUCUAAGCUCUCCCCGCUGCCGGCCGCCGACGCUGCAUCCUUCCCCUCCUCGCUCCCCGACAUCACCGCCCGCCUACCCACACUCUGCUCCAAGGCUGCUCUGCUCUGCCCGUCCUCUGAUGUGGCGUCGCUGGCGGACCGGAAGGGCCAGUUCAAGAGCUACAGCGACGCCAACUUCACCAACUACGGCUCCGGCGCUGGCGCCGGCACCGACGGGUUCAGCAGCUACUCCCCGGACGUCAACGUCGCCGCCGACUCGUUCCGCCGCUACGGCCGGGACUCGUCGGGGCGGGCCGACUCCUUCACCGGCUACGAGGCCAACGGCAACGUCGUCACCGCCAACUUCACCUCCUACGCCGGCGGCGCCACUGGCGGGUCGGGCUCCUUCACGGCCUACGCCGCGGACACCAACGUCCCGGAAUCCAAGUUCACCAACUACGACGCCGGGGCCAAUGGCCGGACCCGCGGGUUCACAUCCUACUCCCAGGAGGCCAACCACGGGGAGAGCAGCUUCGCCGGCUAUGGCAAGAGCGCCAACAGCCUGCGGGAGACUUUCACCUCCUACGGCGGCGACACCAACACCCUCAGCUCCGGCUUCGCCAACUACGGCGAGUCCGCCAACGGCGCCACAGACACCUUCACGGGAUACGGUGUCGAGGGGAACGUGCCCGAGAACACGUUCCGGAGCUACGGUGCCGGCGGCAAUGCCGGAGUGGACACGUUCAAGGGGUACCGCGAUGACGCCAAUGUCGGGGACGACAGCUUCGCCUCCUACGCCAAGGGUGCCAACGGCGGGGCCGCCGAGUUCCAGAGCUACGGUGGCUCGGGCAACCAGGGCAGCGUCGCCUUCAAAGGCUACGGCGAAGGCACCAACCGCAACCACCACAUUGGGUUCAAGCAGUACGCCGGAGACAAUACCACGUUCAAGGGGUACGCCAAGACCGGCAUCGACUUCAAGGCGUAUCACAACACGUCAAGCACAGUGUCAGUGUCGGCGGAGGCAACCACAUCCGAGCAUCGGCAUAUGAAGUGGUCUCCAGAGCCAGGCAAGUUCUUCAGGGAGAGGGAGCUGGUGGCCGGGAACCGAAUGCCCAUGCCGGACAUCAGGGACAAGAUGCCACCCAGGGCAUUCCUGCCGAGAGACAUUGCCGGGAAGAUACCAUUCGAGCCGAAUGCCGUGUCAGAGGUCUUCAGGGUGCCCCUGGACACGGCGAUGGGCAAGGCAGUGGCAUCCACGGUAGCCGAGUGCGAGCGCGCGCCCAGCCAGGGCGAGACCAAGAGGUGCGCGACCUCAGCUGAGGACAUUGUGGACUUUGCUGUGGAGAUGCUAGGCAGUGACAUUGUUGUGCACAGCACGGCCUCCACGGCGGGCAGCGGCGCGGACAUCAGGCUGGGCAAUGUCACCGGAGUGCACGGUGGCAAGGUGACACGGCCUGUAUCAUGCCACCAGAGUCUGUUCCCGUACCUGGUGUACUACUGCCACUCAGUGCCCAAGGCGCGGGUGUACGAGGCCGAUAUCACCGCCGCCGACUCCGGUCAGAAGAUCAAUCACGGGGUGGCCAUCUGUCACCUUGAUACUUCUGAUUGGAGCCCGGCUCAUGGAGCGUUCAUCGCCCUUGGUGGUAAACCCGGCAAAAUAGAGGUUUGCCAUUGGAUCUUCGAGGGCGACAUGACAUGGACAGUCGCAGAUUGA
rnacentral:rRNA from 1 species